rnacentral:RNase_P_RNA from 1 species
GAGGAAAGUCCGGGCUCCACAGAGCAGGGUGCUGGCGUAGGUCAGUCGGGGCGACUCGAAGGAAAGUGCCACAGAAAGCAAACCGCCUGCGUUCGCGCAGGUAAGGGUGAAAGGGUGCGGUAAGAGCGCACCGGGUCCCUGGUGACAGGGAUCGCAGGGUAAACCCCAUCCGGUGCAAGGCCGAACCGUAGACGUGAGGGAGGGAAACCGAACUCGCCAGGGCUGCUCGUCCUGCUGUCUCAGGUAGUGCCGCGUAGAAGAAUGGUCAUCACCCGGGGAGAGCAAUCGACCCGGGGACAAAACCCGGCUUACGACCUCUCUCGACCA